CAAGCGCCGCGGGUUUCUAAGCGGAGGAAGCUCUGGGCGUUUGCGUUCUGGUCUUGCAGCGGUGGCCGCGCGCUCCCUGAGGAGUCGAACUGGAGGAGGGGACAGUUUAGGAGUGCGAGAGUCUAAAGACGCUGCCAGGAUGAUGUUAUGAAGACUCAGGCUUAAGACUCAGAUUAAAUAUGUGUUGAAAAAAUAAAACAAAUCAACUGAGAAACACACCUGCAGUGAAACAAAGGAUGGGGCCAUACAAAUUCUAUCUCAGGCUCAAUGAAACCUUCAGAAUCUGGUGUCAAUUCCAUCCAUGGUUUAGGGAUUCAAUGAACCCUACUUUAAGGUCAGGAUGCUAGAGGAUCAAAAUACAGGCAUCAGCAAUCUCGGUGUCUUCGGAAAGCUCUGAGCGAGAGUCUCUUCCCUGCCUCUCUCCUGGCUUCUGUGGCUGCUGGCAGCACUUGGUGGUUCUUGGCUUACACCUGUACCACUUCAGUCUCUGCCUCUGUCAUCGCACUGACUCUGCCUGUGUGUCUCUGUAUUCAGAUCUUGGUAGAAACUCCAGAAGUCUUCUAUCAAGAAUUGAGCCAUGAGACACUGCCUUGCAGGAAGCAAAAGGGAAAAUGUGAGCCCGAUAUACAUUUACCAGAAUAUCCUAAAAUAUGUUAAACCCAGUAGAAACGAUCAUGUAAGCUCUGUGAUCAAAAGACAUGACUAUAUAUAAAGCCCCGUGUCUCUCAAUCUGUUCAUACACCACUGUCGACACUCAUAACCCUGCCUAGCUGGGAACACAACAGUCAUGUGGAUCCAGGAACCAAGGGCUGGUUAAAAAUGGUCCUAUUGCAUAAAACAAGGUCAAAAAACUGUUUGCACUGCACCGUAAUGACUACUGUAAAACAAACAACCCGUACUUACUCAAAAUUUUUAAUAUUUUAUUCAUCAUUUUUACAUUAAUUUUGACUUUCUAAAAUAUUGCCUUUAAUUACUGCUUUCUUGAUGAUUCUGUUUUCUGUUACCCUCUGAAAUUUUGUGCCCAAGGUGAGUACCUCACUUGCCUUACUUUAAUCUUAGCCCUACCAUGAGGUAUCAUUGCUUUUAUAUACUGGCACUCACUUAAUUAUAGCUGUGAGUAGCCACAGAUUUCUCAUGUUUGUCUUAUUUAAAAGCCAGAGUGAUGCAGUAGAAAGAAUAUUAAAUUGGAAGUGACAAAACUUGGGUAAUAGUUCCAUCUCUGGAGCUUCUUAGUGAUGUGAACCUGGAAAACCAGACUCAUUUAUCUUUAGCUUUUAUUUGGAAAAUGGAAAUAAGUACAAUGUAACGUGUUAGCUUCAAUGUAUCCUUGUGAGAAUACAAAGAGUUAAUGCACGUGAAAACACUCUGAAAAAGUAGAAUCAUUUUUAAUGCAUAUAAAAAAUGACAUUGAAACCGUGUUUGUUGCUAUUUUUAUAUAAUCUUUGGAAUGUUUUGGAUGAAUAUAUGAGUGAAAGAAAUGCAUUCCAGUUAGAUGACCCAGUUGUUGCUAAUGAAAACAUUUUCUCCUCAUCUCAAUUAUUAUGCCUACAUCCAAAUCCAUGUAUUCCCAAUUCUCCUAAUGUCUUUGUACCAUUGAAAGCUAGUGUUUGGGUGGCAGUAGCAGAGCAGUGAUUUUCAAGUGAGGUUCCCUAACCAGCACAUAAGUAUCACCUGGAUCUUGUUAGAAAUGCAAAUUUUCAGACAACAUCCAAUAAACUCUGGGGCUUGGGCCAACAAAUGUGCAUUUUAACAAGCCCUCCAGGUGAUUUGGAAGCCUGCUGGUGUUGAGAGCCACUAGAUCAAAUGAAAGGAACGGAAGAGCGGAAGAUCAGUCUGCCAAGCGAUUUCUCCAGAACCAGAACUUUUAUUUUGUUGGUAGAAUUCUCAUAAAAUCACCUUUUGCCUUUACCAUUGUAUCAUUAAUUUCUAGGCCACAUCUUUUUUCUUCUAUGUUUUUUUCUUACUGUGUAAUUUAAUGAUCUUUCUCUCUCUUCCCUGCCCCCCGACCCAUAUAGAAAUAGGUGUUACAUAAGAAUCACCUGGAGUGCUUGAGUGAAAAUAAUUAUUACCGACUCCUGCCUAAGGUCAUUAAUUGGCAUGGAAUCUUUAACAGAAACACUCAAACUAAUGACAAUGAAGCCGUUUCCAGACCACAAUUUGAAUUGUGCAGUGAUAUGGUUUGGCUUUGUGUCCCCACCCAAAUCACAUCUUGAAUUGCAAUCCCAUAAUCCCCACGUGUAGUGAGAGGGACCCAGUGGGAGGUAAUUGACUCAUGGGGGUGGUUUCCACCAUGCUCUUCUCCUGAUAGUGAGUGAGUUCUCGUGAGACUGAUGGUUCUAUAAGCACCUGGCAUUUCCCUUCCUGGCACUCAUUCUCCUGCCGCCUUGUGAAGAGGUGCCUUCUGCCAUGAUUGUAAGUUUCCUGAGGCCUCUCCAGCCAUGUGGAACUGUAAGUCAAUUAAACCUGUUUUCUUUAUAAAUUACCCAGUCUCAGGUAUUUCUUCAUAGCAGUAUAAGAACAGACUAAUACAUGCAGCUAUUAAGGUAACGUUUCAAAAAGUCAGAUACAGGUAGAACUUAAUUAGCUGUAAUUCAUUGGUGCUUAAUCAAAUGCUAGUUUUUCUUAAUGUGCUUGCUCCACAAGCAUUGCAAUUCUCAGGGACAAAAUUGACAGGUUAAACUGAAGACUGAACAUAAGCUACUAUAUUUACUUUCUUCCAAAACUUCACUUAGAUGAAAAUAAGUGGAUAACAGAGAUGUACUUCCAUAAAACAAAGUGUGAUCUUGUGACAUAAUCAGCAAUAUAUAUUUGGUCUUCAUCCUGGUUCCUCGCACAGAGUUUCUAACAUCCUUGAAGUUUUCUGACUGAUAGGGGUAUGAGGAAGGUAUUUUGGUAUUCCCAAUAAGCCACUUUUUUUCAUCCCUAUUUAUGAUAAUGAGGUGACUCUUGGUGGGCUCGUUACACAGCUUCAAGAUAUCGGCUAUGAGACUAGAGAUUUGGAAUUUUCAGCCCUAUUUCUGUCUUUCCCCUCUCCUAACCUCUCUGGGGGCAGAGGGGCUAGAGAUUGAAUUAAUCACAAAUGACCAAUGAUUUGAUCAAUCAUGGCUACUGAAUGAAGCUUCUGUUAAAAACCCCUAAACAACGGGGUUCGGAAAGCCUCAAGGUUGGUGAACACAUUCAUAUGCUCAGACUCUGGUGGUGCACUGCAAUUCAUGGAGACAGACCAGGUGCUCCUAUACUUGGGACACUUCUGGACCUCACCAUACUUACCUCUUCAUCUGGCUGUUCAUUUGUAUUCUUUAUAAUAAAUCUGUGAUAGUAAAUAGUGUUUCCUUGAGUUCUUGAGCCAUUCUAGAAAAUUAUCAAAACUGAGCAAGAAGUCACGGGGACCGUGACCCUGCAGCCAAGGGGGGCAGAAAUGUGGUAACCUGGGCACCCACUAUUUGCAACUGGUCUCUGAAGUCAGAGAAGUCUGUGGCCUGAGAUUUUAAUCAUGUGGAGCCCAAUGCUCACUCUGGGUAGUUAGUCAGAAUUUAAUUAAAUUGUAGGACGCUCAGUUGGUGUCAGAUAAUUGAUUGGUGUGAAGAAAAAUACUCCAUACUUUUGGCACCAGAAUUGGUGUUAUAAAAAGACUUCAGAGAAGAAAAUUGAAAAAAAGUGACUGGGUUUUGAAAUAUCAAUUAUAUCUCUUCCUAAGUGGAGUUCAGAACCGUUGAGGGAGAGUGGCAGCAUGGGGGUUAGGUUCCUAACAGGAAAAGACACAUCGGAGGAGAGGUUUUGGUAGUGCAAAUUCAUGAGCUUGCUAACUUUCCUUUGAAUUGUGCUUAGCACCCAGAUUGCUGCCUUCCAGGGUGCAGGGCAGACCCAGCUCCACUACAUUUAACAAGUCACCAAGAGAGCAGCCAGGAGUUCAACAUCUCUGUAGUUAGGAAGUGAAGGCUGAGCCAGCCAUUCUCACCAGAUAAGUCACAUCCUAUUCUGAGGAGAGAUGUGAGGUUAUUUCUAAGAAGGCUGUUGUAACUUGAAUGAAGAGUGUUGAUACCCUAAUGGCAAUAAGCCAACCUGAAGACUAAACCAGGGAUAAGGAGACUGCUGAAAAAACACAUUCCACAGCAAAAUGUUUUGGCCUUUAACCAAUGGCUUUGGCUAUAUAUCUAAACAAAAGUCAUUCAGAAAAUGACUUUGUUCCUCAUGGGAGACAAUUGGUUCUGGGUCAAAACAGUCUUGCUUUUAUCUUUCAUGGGUUAGAUCCAUCACAGACAAUCUUUCUCAGAUAAUGGGUAGAUAAUUAGAUUUUGCUCAGAGAAGGCUCUGAAAUGGGUCAGAAGAGUACUUUGAGUGCAUACAAUGCACAUUAACUCCUAGGCUACUCUAUUAUCAGCCUGAAAUUUUACUCACUGUUCUAUUUCCAUCAUAUUUAGCCAUACUGCUAAUAUCAUCAAAGUAUCAAGGGCAUUCCUUUAAUAAAAGCCAACAACAUUGGGCUGAGUGCAGUAGCUAGUGCCUGUAAUCCCGGUACUUCGGGAGGUCAAGGUGGAGGAUCACUUGAGUCCAGGAGUUGUAGACCAGCCCGAGCAACGUAGUGGGACUCUGUGUCUACAAAAAUAAAAAUUUAAAAAUAGCUCAUUGUGAUGGCACAUGCCUGUAGUCCC